GCCCGUACCGUAAACCGACACAGGUGGGUGGGAUGAGUAUUCUAAGGCGCGUGGAAGAACUCUCUUCAAGGAACUCUGCAAAAUAGCACCGUAUCUUCGGUAUAAGGUGUGCCUAACUUUGUGAAGGAUUUACUCCGUAAGCAUUGAAGGUUACAACAAAGAGUCCCUCCCGACUGUUUACCAAAAACACAGCACUCUGCUAACUCGUAAGAGGAUGUAUAGGGUGUGACGCCUGCCCGGUGCUCGAAGGUUAAUUGAUGACGUUAGCUCUGCGAAGCGUUUGAUCGAAGCCCGAGUAAACGGCGGCCGUAACUAUAACGGUCCUAAGGUAGCGAAAUUCCUUGUCGAUUAAAUAUCGACCUGCAUGAAUGGCGUAACGAGAUGGGAGCUGUCUCGAAGAGGGAUCCAGUGAAAUUGUAGUGGAGGUGAAAAUUCCUCCUACCCGCGGCAAGACGGAAAGACCCCGUGGACCUUUACUACAGCUUGACACUGCUAUUGGGAUAAAAAUGUGCAGGAUAGGUGGGAGGCUUUGAUCCAUAGACGCCAGUUUAUGGUGAGCCGUUGUUGAGAUACCACUCUUUUUUAUUCUGAUAGCUAACUAGCUUGAGUUAUCCUCAAGUAGGACAAUGUCUGGUGGGUAGUUUGACUGGGGCGGUCGCCUCCCAAAAUGUAACGGAGGCUUACAAAGGUUGGCUCAGAACGGUUGGAAAUCGUUCGCAGAGUAUAAAGGCAAAAGCCAGCUUAACUGCGAGACAUACACGUCAAGCAGGGACGAAAGUCGGUCUUAGUGAUCCGGUGGUUCUGUGUGGAAGGGCCAUCGCUCAAAGGAUAAAAGGUACCCCGGGGAUAACAGGCUGAUCUCCCCCAAGAGCUCACAUCGACGGGGAGGUUUGGCACCUCGAUGUCGGCUCAUCGCAUCCUGGGGCUGAAGUCGGUCCCAAGGGUUGGGCUGUUCGCCCAUUAAAGCGGUACGCGAGCUGGGUUCAGAACGUCGUGAGACAGUUCGGUCCCUAUCUGCCGUGGGCGCAAGAAGAUUGAGGAGAGUUGACCCUAGUACGAGAGGACCGGGUUGAACCGACCACUGGUGUACC
rnacentral:rRNA from 1 species